rnacentral:rRNA from 1 species
AUACGUAAGUGGCAAACGUUGUCCGGAAUCACUGGGCGUAAAGAACACGUAGGCGGCCAGGUAAGUCGGAGGUGAAAUCCAGGGGCUCAACCCCUGAACUGCCUCGGAAACUGCUUGGCUCGAGGUCCGGAGGGGAAAGUGGAAUUCCGGGUGUAGCGGUGAAAUGCGCAGAUAUCCGGGAGAACACCAAUGGCGAAGGCAGCUUUCUGGCCGGAUCCUGACGCUGAGGUGUGAAAGCUAGGGUAGCGAACGGGAUUAGAAACCCCAGUAGUCC